rnacentral:misc_RNA from 1 species
UAGACCACCCUUAAAUCGCUAGAGUACUACGAGUAUCCAACUUAAAACUCAAAGGACUUGACGGCGUCUCAUCUAACUAGAGGAGCCUGUUCUAUAAUCGAUAUUCCCCGAUAUACCUAACCACUUUUUGCUUAUCAGUCUGUAUACCUCCGUCGCAAGCUUACCAUAUGAAUGCCAAUUAGUGAGCUAAAUGGAUUUCCCCCAUCAGAACGUCAGGUCAAGGUGCAACCCACAAAGUGGAGUGAGAUGGGCUACAGUUUCUAACUUUAGAACAUACGAAUUAUUAUAUGAAAAAUAAUACUGAAGGCGGAUUUAGAAGUAAGGGGCAAAUAAAGUGUCCCCCUUAAUCCAGCAAUGAGACGUGUACACACCGCCCGUCACCCUCUUCAAUUUGAUACUUACCGUUUAUAACACAACACCCCCACUAAAGAAGAGGCAAGUCGUAACAAGGUAAGCAUACCGGAAGGUGUGCUUGGAACAACAAAAUAUAGCUUAACCCAAAGCACUUCGCUUACACCGAACCAACAUCUGUUUGAAUCAGAUUAUUUUGAGCCGUAAACUUCGCCCAUAAAAUACUUAAUUUACCCCACAUCACAAAACAUUUAAACAAUCCAGUAGAAGUGAUUAAAAACUUAAUAGGAGCCACACACGUAGUACCGCAAGGGAAAAAUGAAAUAGAAAUGAAAUAACUAAAAGCUAAUAAAAGCAGAGAUUAACACUCGUACCUUUUGCAUCAUGGUCUAGCCAGUCUUAACGAGCAAACUACAUUAUUUAGCUCGUACCCCCGAAACCCGACGAGCUACUUAAAAACAGCCCUUAGAGCCAACCCGUCUCUGUUGCAAAAGAGUGGGAAGAUUUUUAAGUAGAGGUGACAUACCUACCGAGCCGGGAGAUAGCUGGUUGCUCAAGAAAAGAACCUAAGUUCUUCCUCAAAUACCCGAACAUAAUCUAUUAAAAUAUACAUUUGAGAGCCAUUCAAAUACGGUACAGCCUAUUUGAUCCCGGAUACAACCAAAAAUUAAGGGUAAUGUAACCCCUAUUUUAAUUAAGUCGGCCUAAAAGCAGCCACCUCCUAAGACAGCGUUACAGCCCAAUUAAAAUUAUUUAUAAUACCUGACACCACACAAAACCCUACCCUAGUACUGAGCACUUUUAUAACCUAUAACUGUUAUUAUGCUAGAACUAGUAACAAGAAAAAUUUCUCCUAAAUGUAAGUAUACGUCAAACAUGAUCUUUACUACUAUAAAUGUAACAAAACCCCCCCCCCCCGAAAAUUUUACUAACUUUAUUAUUAAACUUACACAAGAACAAAAAGGAAAGAUUAAAACAAAGAGAAGGAACUCGGCAAACCUUAGUCUCGCCUGUUUACCAAAAACAUCACCUCUUGAUUAACCAUAAGAGGCCCAGCCUGCCCAGUGAUUAUUUCAACGGCCGCGGUACCCUACCCGCGCGAAGGUAGCACAAUCACUUGUUCUUUAAAUAGGGACUAGUAUGAACGGCACCACGAAGACUAUACUGUCUCCUUUAUGCAAUCAGUGAAACUGAUCUUCCCGUGAAGAAGCGGGAAUUUUUAUAUAAGACGAGAAGACCCCAUGAAGCUUCAAAUAAAUAUCAACUGCCACUAAACACACCACCCUAACUUGACAGAUCUGACAAUUAAUUUUUGGUUGGGGUGACCACGGAGUAAAAUAAAACCUCCACAAUGAAAGGACCUAUAUCCUAAUUCAAGAACAACAAUUCUAACAAUCAAAAAAUUGACAUAAAUUGACCCAAAUCUUAUUGAUCAAUGAACCAAGUUACUCUGGGGAUAACAGCGCAAUCCAUUUCAAGAGCUCCUAUCGACAAAUGGGUUUAC